CAAAAACAAAAAAACAACCUGAAUCAAGGGCACUGGACUUGUAGGUUCCUAAAUGUUGGUGAAACAUCUUCAAAGAAAUCUUUUUGUGGGGGUUACUGCACAAGCCCUUAACCUUAUUAUGUACUUUUUAAGAUUUAAAUUCUAAAACUGACAAUCGAUCCAAUAGCACCAGUUCACGAAGCAGCUGACCGGGUGUGCAGAGUGAAGUAAAACACUCGGCUUGUGCAACAAAACUGGAGCCCAUGAAAAAUUUAAGAGAAGAAGCUUUCCUGCAGCACUUCCAGCCUGUUUCUUUGCAUCAGCAACCACUGAGGGGCCACUUCCAUCAGAUCAGAGGUGGGAUGUGUCUCGGGCUGAUGAUAAGAGCCACGGCUCUACCUGUGGCCUCCCGUCGCUGCGCGCCGGCGCUGGUAUCUGCGUGGAUGAAGGUGACUGAGGAUGACAGGCAGCCAAAUGCCUUUUCACCUGCAGCUGAUUUCUGAACGCAAACGCCCCGGUUUAGACAAAUGGGAACAAGGCGCGGCAAUUAUGGCGCGACUGACCUUCAGCUCGUGCUCCGUGAUGGAGCUGUCACACACUUCAUGCUUGGCCCCCUUUUCCUUAUCACAGCCGCACCGCUCCCACCUUUAUAAACAAACAGUCCAGUGGCAGUAGGCAGUAGGUAUAUUCGGUUUAGCUCCUGAUUUUUUAUUUUUUUUUUUUUAAGUGGCUUCCUCAGUCAGUGUUUUUUUGACACCACGCGACCCUCCGCGUGACCCGAUGCCUUUUCAAUUGUGUUCAUCUAUUAUGGAGCGAUAAGAGAGCACGAGCCUCCGUGUUUCCUGGGAAUAUUACCGGGAAAAUUUCCCAGACAGACAAGGGAGAAUGCCGCUAAUAAAUUCUGCAUGUAAUGAUUAAAUUUGAAUACAGAGGUCAAGAGCCCUCAUUAUUUGCUUUCAAAUAUUAAAAUACUGUUAAUAUUUUAUGUCACCAAAUACGCAGCGCUGAAUUAAUUUCCAAAGAAAAAUGUUUGCACGGAAUAAAGUGCUUUUUGGG